rnacentral:rRNA from 1 species
AGUGAACGCUGGCGGCGUGCUUAACACAUGCAAGUCGAACGAGAACGGAUUAUAGCUUGCCAUAAUUGUCAGCUAAGUGGCGCACGGGUGAGUAAUGUAUAGGUAAUAUGCCUCUUACUAAGGGAUAACAAAUGGAAACGUUUGCUAAUACCUUAUACUCCUUAUUAACAGAAGUUAAUAAGGGAAAGAUUUAUUGGUAAGAGAUUAGCCUGUAUUGUAUCAGUUAGUUGGUGGGGUAAUGGCUUACCAAGACUAUGACACAUAACUGGUUUGAGAGGAUGAUCAGGCACACUGGAACUGAGACACUGUCCAGACUCCUACGGGAGGCAGCAGUGGGGAAGAUUGCACAAUGGACGGAAGUCUGAUGCAGCAACGCCGCGUGGAGGAUGACACAUUUCGGUGCGUAAACUCCUUUUAUAUGAGAAGAUAAUGACGGUAUUAUAUGAAUAAGCACCGGCUAACUCCGUGCCAGCCGCCGCGGUAA